GGAGGGCUGGCCGAGCGGUCGAAGGCGGCUGACUUGAAAUCAGUUGAAGGGCAACCUUCCGGGGGUUCGAAUCCCUCGCCCUCCG
rnacentral:tRNA from 1 species